AGGGCUAUCGCCAAGUGGUAAGGCACAGGAUUUUGGCUCCUGCAUUCCCGGGUUCAAAUCCCGGUAGCCUCGUUUA
rnacentral:tRNA from 1 species